rnacentral:RNase_P_RNA from 1 species
GGAGCCGGACAGAUGAUCGCCGGCCGCAGACACCGCGGUCGGAGGAAAGUCCGGGCUCCACAGGGCAGGGUGCUGGGUAACUCCCAGGGGGGGCGACCCCACGGAAAGUGCCACAGAGACCAGACCGCCGUGGUACGUCCACGGUAAGGGUGAAAAGGUGAGGUAAGAGCUCACCAGUGCCGGUGGCGACAUCGGCAGCUUGGAAAACCCCACCCGGAGCAAGACCAAAUAGGGGAGCGUCAAGAGUGGCCCGCUCGUGCUCCCGGGUAGGUCGCGUGAGGCCCCGGGCAACCGGGGUCCCCAGAGGAAUGAUCAUCACCGGUGCAAACCGGCACAGAACCCGGCUUAUGGCCUGCUCCGCCA